CAAUAGCGUAUAUUUAAGUUGCUGCAGUUAAAAAGCUCGUAGUUGGAUUUCGGGUGGGAAUGGCCGGUCCGCCGUUUCGGUGUGCACUUGCUACGCCCACCUUGCUGCCGGGGACGUGCUCUUGAGUUCACGCUCGGGACACGGAGUCGGCGAGGUUACUUUGAGUAAAUUAGAGUGUUCAAAGCAGGCCUCGGCCUCUGAAUACAUUAGCAUGGAAUAAUAAGAUAGGACUUUGGUGGUCUAUUUUGUUGGUUUGCACGCCAAAGUAAUGAUUAAUAGGGAUAGUUGGGGGUAUUCGUAUUCAAUUGUCAGAGGUGAAAUUCUUGGAUUUAUGGAAGACGAACUACUGCGAAAGCAUUUACCAAGGAUGUUUUCAUUAA
rnacentral:rRNA from 1 species